rnacentral:lncRNA from 1 species
AUUAAUCAUAAAAAAUUAAUACGGUACAGUAUAGCACCAAACAUUGUACAACAUUGUUAUAAUACAGUGCUAAAACAAUACAAUAUAAUACGAUAUACAUGUAUUAAAAAAUACUAUACAGCAUAAUACAAUACAGUGUGCCAAACAUACCCUUAGGUUAUCUUCGAGAGUUAGGAUUAAGUGUGGAAUUAGAUUAACUUUGAAUUUAAAUAUUUUAUCGCAUGUUUAGCAAAUUGGCUUGGACUGGAUUAGGGAGGACUAAAUUUAAAUUUACUCCUCAAAUCAUUGGAUUAACAAUCUCAAUGUAUAAGCGGGUUUAGAUGGGAUUAGA